UAAAUAAAAAACUAUACUGUCUUAUCCCUUUCCUCUAGUGAAGCUCGGCCACUGUUUCUUCCUCUAGUGAAGCUUGGCCACCGUUUCCCCAAAUCCACAAGACUGCUCCACCCCGGCCGAGCCAGCUGCAAGGGAUGGCCGGAGGGCUGCUGCGAGAGCUGACUGGAGACGGCGCAGCUUCACCGCCACACGUAUCCCGCUGCUAGCAGCAGGGAGACGGCGAAGUACACAAGCAGCAGAGCAACGACGAGAUCUACGAGCCUGACGACAACGGCAAGCUGGAGCCUCCUCCCAACGAGCUCGAGAAGGAAUACGACGCCGGCGAUGUCCCGGAGCAGCACGGCCGACCUGGACGAGGAUGAGGGUAGCAACCAGACGAGGGGCAUGCCUGGGCCGCCGUGCUAUCUUACGGCUGCACGAGGCCUCUGACGGCAGGGUCGCGAUAGCUGGACCUCGGCGCCCUCCUGCCUGGCCAAGCCCCAGUAGCAAAACCAAAGGUCAAUUACUUCUUGUUACCUAGAACUAAUUUAUUCCUUUCUUCAUCAUUAGUUCAUACCGUACUGCUGCUAUUUCUCGAUGACCCAGGCGUGAAAGCAUAGCAAGAGAGAGCUGAGCAUGUCAUUGGAAUAUUUAAAAGUGAUAAGUACUCAACAGAUCAUUGUUGCAAUUAAAUGAAACUAAACUGAUUGUUCUGUCUUCGGAAACUAGGAGUCAAUUGAAAUUAAACCAAUUGAAGUAGUGAGCACUCAACACAUUGGGUCUCAUGUAUGCUGAUUCAGUUAUGCCUUCUGCAUAAUCUCAUCUGGCAAGACAACAUAACAGACAUGCAUCAACCUAUCGUUAUAUCCCAGGAUAGUUUUAUAAGUUCCAAAGAUCACCAGCUUCACUCUGCAAAUUAAAGGGAGAUAUAACUAAUUAAUAAAAAGUCAUAUUGUUUACCAACGAAUUUAAGGAAUGUUAGACAUGAUAAGUGGAAAUACCGUUAGUAGACGAGCAUAGUACCCAUAUUCUUGCAAACCAUUUGCAUUUGUUCCAGUCAUUUGCUCUAUAGGUGCUUGAUACUGUGCUACUGGAAUGUCAUUCUUUCCUCUCUAUGCAAACAUAAAAACAAAAAUCAAAACAAAUAUUAGUUGACUUGUUACUAUAUCAGUCUAUUAAAUAAGUAGUGUAGUUAGAUAGGUGCAAGAGAUUUACAGAAUGAGUUUGAUUUUUCGGUACUGCUAUAGUUGUCUCCUUCUUUUUAUUGGGGUGCUGGUUGCCAAGCCAUGUUUUCUUUCUUCUUGAAUUUUUCUUCGGAAUUUCCUUUUUCUUUAGGGAAGCAUCCUUUAAACAAUCCUCUGGUUCUUUAGAUAUAUCUUCAGUUCUGCAUGUAGUAGUGCGAGUUUUCUCUUCAACUUGCUUCCUAAGAAUCCUCAAAGCAUCAUCUACUAGUUUGAUACACUCUUCUGAUGUUACUGCUUGUGAAGCUAUGCCAAGGAACUCGUGCAUGAAAAACUUCAACUGUUGUCUAUCUUCUGAUCUAGGAUCUUCCAAAACAAUGUUUCCAUGGCUGUUUUCAAUAGUGCCGCUUCGCGCUUCUCGAGUCCAUCGCUUCAAAAUAUAGUGGCCUGGAAGAUACUUAAUAUUCAUGACAUCAAGGGCUUUCAAAGCAUGACUGCACAAUAUACCAACUCUUUCAAAUUGCCCACAAUUGCAGAAAACUUUUUGCUCUUCAUAAUCAACUAGUACUUUGCACUCUUCUUUAUAUGGGAAUUCUGGGUCAAGACUUGCAAUUGCAACAGUAUAUGCAUUGUGUUCUUCCGAUGGCUUGAUGUAUGCUGAGAUGGAUCUUUCAUACUCAUUCUGAAAAUCUUCAAAUAUGCAUGGUGUGUAAACUUUGCUAGCUUGUAUUACCAUAGGAGUCCUCAUUCUGACUCUAGGUAAUUUUUUCCUAGACUCGUAUUCCUCAUUUACCUCGUUAUCUCUUUUUCCUUGCACAACCCUCUCUACGUGCUUGAAAAACCGAAGGAUGUAAAGAGCAUAUUUUAGAUGGUCUUUCAAGUCACUGUUCAAGCUCUCACUUAAUUGUGUGCUUCUCAUGCCUAUAGUGUAAGCAUUCCUCAUGUAACAUCUUGCCCAUUUCUCUUUUACUUUGUAGAUACUGUCCAACCAAGUUUGUGUUUCCACAUUGCUUCUUAUGGCAUUGAAAGCUUCUUCAAAGGCUUCCUCUUCCUCAUACUUGUACAUGCAAGCACUGAAAUCAGCAAGUACAUUUGGUCCUUCCUCGUCUUUUUUCUUAUGAGGUAAGUGUCUGAUGGCAUUUUGCAUUAUGUGAAAAGUGCACAAGCCAUGCCAUACUUCGAUAAAUACUGCCCGAAUUGCAUUACCCAUUGCUACAUCUUGAUCAGUAAAGAUUGUUCUAGGUUGCUUUUUGUUAUGCACUGAUAGGAACGUGUUGAACAGCCAUUUGAAUGAUUCAAAUGUCUCAUCAUAUAAAAGUGCAGCACCAAAAAUGACCAUUUCUCUAAAAUGGUUGAAGCCAACAAACACACCGAAGGGUCUCUACUCUUUGUUUGUCCCAAAUGUUGUAUCGAAGGUAACAACAUCACCGAAAUGAGCAUAGUCAAUGAUCAUCCUUGCAUCAGCCCAAAAGAUAUUUGCUAUAUUUUCAUCACAAUCUAGUUACAUGUCAUAUUCAAAUGCAGGAUUCUCAUUCUUUUUAUCUCUAAAAUACUUGAGCAUACUUCCAACUUCACCAUACAUCAAGUCCCUUUGACGCCUGGUUCGCAAGUGGUUCUUGCGAUCACGACAUGUGUAGCCAAGGUUCAGUGGACUACCAACUUGUCGAUUUGCUAACUCAUGGGCUUUUUUAGGUACAAUUCCUGAAUCAUCCGCUGUUUCAAUUUCAAAUGCUUGCAAGGCCGAAAUUUUCCUCUGUGAUGGCAUCAAGUGGCUUGCCCCAGAAGGAAGACAAAAUGGAGAUAAUCUGCAUCGCCUACAGAUCAGCUUGCCUUGGUUUCACUCUGAACAUGGGGGACGAUCAGAAGAGAGAUAAGGCAAAAGGGAGUUUUUUUUUGAAGGGAGGCAAAAGGGAGUUGAUCUCGCCACCUAAAGACCACAGAUGAACGUACCUCCGCCGUGUUCUUUUACAAGGACGAACAAGAGGAACGGGGAAGAUGAGCAGGACGAAGGCAAAUAGAUCGCUGUUUGUUGCCAACGCGAUUAUUAGGGUGGUGUUUUGUUUGGCGCCAAUGUGAGUCUUUGUGGUUCUGUUUGGCGCCAAUCUUGCAACCGAACGAGAUUUUCUACCACAUAAUUAGGUGUUUGUUUCCAUUUAUUAACAGAAUCAAGUGGAGGUAAUGAGAGCCGUGAGAUUUAAAUGAAUGGCUGAUGUGGGUUGGUACA